GGCUUGCACAGGUGCUGCAUGGCUGUCGUCAGCUCGUGUCGUGAGAUGUUCGGUUAAGUCCGCUAACGAGCGCAACCCUCGCUGUGUGUUAUAUGUGUCACACGGGACUGCCGGUCUUAAGCCGGAGGAAGGUGGGGAUGAUGUCAAGUCAGCAUGGCCUUUAUAUCCUGGGCUACACACACGCUACAAUGGCCAACACAAUAGGUUGCUAAGCCGCGAGGUGGCGCCAAUCCAUAAAGUUGGUCUCAGUUCAGAUUGUAGGCUGCAACCCGCCUGCAUGAAGAUGGAGUUGCUAGUAAUCGCAGGUCAGCUAUACUGCGGUGAAUACGUUCCCGGGGCUU
rnacentral:rRNA from 1 species